rnacentral:rRNA from 1 species
UGGGGAAUAUUGGACAAUGGGCGAAAGCCUGAUCCAGCCAUGCCGCGUGAGUGAUGAAGGCCCUAGGGUUGUAAAGCUCUUUUGUGCGGGAAGAUAAUGACGGUACCGCAAGAAUAAGCCCCGGCUAACUUCGUGCCAGCAGCCGCGGUAAUACGAAGGGGGCUAGCGUUGCUCGGAAUCACUGGGCGUAAAGGGUGCGUAGGCGGGUUUCUAAGUCAGAGGUGAAAGCCUGGAGCUCAACUCCGGAACUGCCUUUGAUACUGGAAGUCUUGAGUUCGGGAGAGNUGAGUGGAACUGCGAGUGUAGAGGUGAAAUUCGUAGAUAUUCGCAAGAACACCAGUGGCGAAGGCGGCUCACUGGCCCGAUACUGACGCUGAGGCACGAAAGCGUGGGGAGCAAACA